AUUGAACGCUGGCGGCAGGCCUAACACAUGCAAGUCGAGCGGAGCGGCGGACGGGUGAGUAAGGCCUAGGACUCUGCCUGGUAGUGGGGGAUAACGUCCGGAAACGGGCGCUAAUACCGCAUACUAUCAGAUGAGCCUAGGUCGGAUCAGCUAGUUGGGGGGGUAAAGGCCUACAAGGGCGACGUACCGGAACUGGUCUGAGGGGAUGAUCAGUAACAAUGGAAAGGGGACAGGUUCCAGACUCAGUGGGUAGGCAGCAGUGGGGAAUAUUGGACAAUGGGCGAAAGCCUGAUCCAGCCAUGCCGCGGGGGUGAAGAAGGUCUUCGGAUUGUAAAGCACUUGAAGUUGGGAGGCGUUACCAACAGAAUAAGCACCGGCUAACUGCGUGCCAGCAGCCGCGGUAAUAC
rnacentral:rRNA from 1 species